UUAAAUAAAUGCUUUUUAGAAUCACAGGAUUUAUGAACUCGCUUGAAUUGCAUACAAGGCGAGCCUGUUCAAUAUAAAGUCAUUAGAGCGAAAACAACAUUUACGUGUAUUUUAUUUUUGCUAUUUGGUGGUGGGUAUGUCUAAGUUUCAACCAUAAUAUAAACCAACAGAUAAAACAAUAACAACAAGGUACUUUACCAUUGCUAUUCAAACCAUCGGAUCGCAGUAACAAAUCAAACAAAAAAACAAAUUAGUUGCAGUAGUAACAGCACCAAGUAUGAAUUCACCAUGAGUUGAGUACAAAACAUUUAUCGAAAAUAAGAAUCCAUACCUCUAAUAUUUAUCAGAAACACUAGUAUCAUAAAAAAAUGUCGUGACGCAUUCUAACGUUAAUAACCGGUAAAGCAAUAUUCCUAAACUGGGAACAUUGAAAAGCAUGGACCGAAGUUCGGGUUUAACAGAAAAGCAGUUUCCACAGUGAACGAAGUGAAGAUUACAAGGCUCGGAAAUCUAAAUUGUGAAUAUGUAUAUAAUAUUUUACAGUGACGGUAGAGAGACAAUAUGCAAUGAAAACAAGAAGAGAGAUAUUGCACAUUUAAAAUAUAAGGAAAUAAAGAAGGUAAAGCAGAUUCCUAUACAUAUUACAUAUACAGGUUUCAUCCCAAGGUCGAUAAUUGCGAUAAUCAUAGCGCGAUGAAGAGGAACGAUCGGGGUAGUCACGAUCGUAGCUGCCGCCACGUGGACGCUCAUAAUAUCGAUCUGUGAAGAGGUGAUUCAGUUUAAAAACUUUCUUUAUCUUACUUUUCAGACCAAACGUACCACGAUAAUAAUCACCGAUACGCUCCUGAUCAUAACCGCCUCGGCGAUCGUAGCGAUCGUAUCCGCGCCCGUCAUAGCGAUCAUAGGUUUUCGAGCCUAAACGAUCGUCUCUGCGUAAAGAAAAAUAGAAAAUUAGCAGGGAGUUAAAGCGAUCACAAUGAAAUAAAACUGUGCUAGUUCAAAAACGCUGAAAAUGAUAAAUGUUGAAGAGAAUAGUGAUAUUGAUUAUUUUAGAUUCACUCAAAUAAGAAGGAUGCUCGCUUUGGAGACGAAAGGUAGACCUCAUCGUAUGGUCGCAUCAUAUGAAAUCAUUGUAAAUUUUAUAUUAAUUGAUUUCAUAUAGAUGUAAAUUAUUCGAAAAUGUAUUCUUUUGCAAGAAUUGCACUUAAUACAA